AAGGGUCAUUGGUUCCAGAUCUGAAUCGAGCAAAAGAAGUAGUGCAGCAAACAAUGAAAAACUAGGGCUACUGGGAUGGAAAGGCCGAACACGGGGACGAGGAGGGCGUAGGAGGGGUCGGCGCACUGUCAGAAGUAGGCAGAAACCUGUGAAACAGGUGGUUGAAGACAUCCCUGAAGAGAUCAUAUUCAAGCCACCCCCAAGAAACUUGGAUAGGGAGUGGAAUGUAGAAACCCCCACGAGGGAGCCAGUGGAGGAAGCUGAAAAUGUUAGCAGUUCGGAAAGUUCAGAGGAGUAUGACGAUGAUAACGGUCAGGGAACAGGUGAUGAAUGUGAUGAUUUAGGCGUAGAUGAGUAUUCGGGGCCUUUUAAUGGCAAGUCAG
rnacentral:lncRNA from 1 species